rnacentral:rRNA from 1 species
AUACGUAGGGGGCAAGCGUUGUCCGGAAUUACUGGGCGUAAAGAGCUCGUAGGCGGCUCAGCAAGUCGGUCGUGAAAGCCCGAGGCUCAACCUCGGAACUGCGGUCGAUACUGCUGUGGCUAGAGUCCGGUAGAGGAGAGUGGAAUUCCCGGUGUAGCGGUGGAAUGCGCAGAUAUCGGGAGGAACACCAGUGGCGAAGGCGGCUCUCUGGGCCGGUACUGACGCUGAGGAGCGAAAGCGUGGGGAGCAAACAGGAUUAGAUACCCUUGUAGUCC